GGAAAUAAGUAUUUGAUCCCACGCUGAUUUUGUAGGUUUUCUCACUUAAAUAGAAACCAACAGUCUGUCAUCCUAAUUCUUUUAACCUGUCAAAGAUUGAAUUGACUUUAUGUAAUUAAUAUACAUUUAUUUGCAUUUCACUGAGGGAAAUAAGUAGUCACUUUAGCUGUACGUCACUUUUUUUUAUCCAUAAAAGCUUCUUACAGCAUCACCUGACGUGCGUUAGGACCAGCGUUUCUCUCCCGACCUCACAAGAUGCAGCUUAGACUAAACGAAAGAGGCUUUUCCACAAACCCGUCCCUUCAGAAGGCGUGUGAACUCUGCAGAGGAGGCAGCAGGACGAGGGCUUUAAUGAAAGAGCUACUGCUGCCAGAGCGAACAUCAAAGUCAACACCUUCCCCGAGCCUCCACGGUGAUGCAACCGCCGGCAAGAAAAUGUUCUGCAGCACCGGAGAGUCCGGCCUCUGGCAGAACUUCAACAGAACUCUGCUAACCGCAGGCUGAAUGGAGAGGAUUGAUUUACACACAAAAUUGAACCAAAUGCUUCACCUGUCA